CGCGCAGGCGGUCGUGUAAGUCGAAUGUGAAAGCCCCCGGCUCAACUGGGGAGGGUCAUUCGAUACUGCUCGACUCGAAGGCAGGAGAGGGAAGCGGAAUUCCCGGUGUAGUGGUGAAAUGCGUAGAUAUCGGGAGGAACACCAGUGGCGAAGGCGGCUUCUGGCCUGUUCUUGAUGCUGAGGCGCGAAAGCUAGGGAGCAAACG
rnacentral:rRNA from 1 species